AGUCUGCAUGGAGCCGACCUUGAAAUACCACCCUUUAAUGUUUGAUGUUCUAACGUGGACCCGUAAUCCGGGUUGCGGACAGUGUCUGGUGGGUAGUUUGACUGGGGCGGUCUCCUCCUAAAGAGUAACGGAGGAGCACGAAGGUUGGCUAAUCCUGGUCGGACAUCAGGAGGUUAGUGCAAUGGCAUAAGCCAGCUUGACUGCGAGCGUGACGGCGCGAGCAGGUGCGAAAGCAGGUCAUAGUGAUCCGGUGGUUCUGAAUGGAAGGGCCAUCGCUCAACGGAUAAAAGGUACUCCGGGGAUAACAGGCUGAUACCGCCCAAGAGUUCAUAUCGACGGCGGUGUUUGGCACCUCGAUGUCGGCUCAUCACAUCCUGGGGCUGAAGUAGGUCCCAAGGGUAUGGCUGUUCGCCAUUUAAAGUGGUACGCGAGCUGGGUUUAGAACGUCGUGAGACAGUUCGGUCCCUAUCUGCCGUGGGCGCUGGAGAACUGAGGGGGGCUGCUCCUAGUACGAGAGGACCGGAGUGGACGCAUCACUGGUGUUCGGGUUGUCAUGCCAAUGGCACUGCCCGGUAGCUAAAUGCGGAAGAGAUAAGUGCUGAAAGCAUCUAAGCACGAAACUUGCCCCGAGAUGA
rnacentral:rRNA from 1 species